rnacentral:tRNA from 1 species
UAGAUUAAGACAAUUAUUUGCAAUAAUUAAAAGUUAGUCAUCUAACUAAUCUAA